AAGUCGUAACAAGGUCUCCGUAGGUGAACCUGCGGAGGGAUCAUUAUCGUCGGGGGCUUCGGCCCCGUCGAGAUAGCACCCUUGUCCUCCUCGGCGCACUUGUAUCGUUUCCUCGGGCUGGUCCCCAGCCCGAACGGACCCCAACCAAACCCUUUUUGCAGUGCCUGUCUCAGUCUGAUCGUAAACAAAAUCGUUAACAACUUUCAACAAUGGAUCUCUUGGUUCUGGC
rnacentral:misc_RNA from 1 species